ACCAAUGUGGCUCAAUGGCUAGAGCAUCGCUUUCCUACUUCUCCUUCAAAGGCGAAGGUUGUGGGUUCGAGUCCCAUCAUUGGUU